CUUUUUAAAUUAUUUAUUUAUAUAUAUUUAUUUAAUUCAUCUCAGUUUGGUUGGAAUUCUAUUUAAUCAUUGUUGCACUUUAGUAUUUUUGUACAAAAAAAAAAAUUAAAAAUUAAAUGAAAGGAUAGAAAAAGAGAACAUAGGAUACAGGUGCCGAGCAGAGAGCUGGUUUACAGACGAUGGAGGGGGAAGUCAGACAGAAACAGAUAAGGAAGAAGAAAACAAGGAGGUGGUCCCUCAUCAGCAACACACACACAGUCCCUCGCUGGACCAUGAUGCACUGGGAGUCCUUGCGGACAAGGGGGAGGAUAGGUGGGCGGAUCAUUCUCCCAAACCCUACGCUCACUAUCUGAACUGUACAUACUGCGUUGGGGUCAAAACUCGAGACCGCUCAGUUUAUGGUCAGUUCCUCAUUUCUCUCCUUCUGAAGCGAUGGAGGACUGAAUCCAGUAUUGGGGCUGGAGUAGGUCUCCCUUGCUGAUCAUGUGACAAAGGGAGGGAAUGAGAGAGCGAGAAAGAGAUAGAAAAGGGAGGGUACCACUGCAGAUUGGGGGAGCGAGAGGAGAAGGGUUCUUUCUCUCUCCACCUCUAAAUGUCUUAUGAUGAUGAUGGGGAUGAUUUGUCAGCUAUAUUACAGUUCCCCUCCAUUUCAUUUACUGCACUCCCAGCACCGAACCACCCUACAACCCCUUGCCUGCAAAAUCUACCCCUAAAAAGCAGAGAACGAUAACAAUGGCAUCAAUGAUUGAAAUGAUAAAAAGUAACACAAAUAAUCACUCUCCUCUUCAAGUGUCUCGAUAAUAAAACAAUAAGAACAAUAUUUUUUUAUGACAAUGAAGGAGACUUCUCCCUGUACUCUUUUGGCUAAAAAUCUCAAUAUUCCCCCCCCCAAAUAAAAAAAAUAUGACAUCUGAAGACAUCCAAAAAUACAAAAUAAUAACAAUAUAAAAAUGCCUCCCCAACACCUCCCCCCAAAAAUAUGAUACAGAAAUUGCAAUCUAUACAUGGUGUCGCUGUACAGAGGAGGAAGGGGAAGAAUGUCAGUUAAAACUACCCACAAUGCCACACUGUCACAAGAGGGGGCAGGGGAGCGAUGGGGAGUGGAAAAAGAGGGAGGAAGGAUGGAAUGAACAGGGGGGGGAGAAGGGCAUAAAACAUGAGAGAACAAGGGAGUGAGAAAAGGAACAGGCAAUAUGAGAGGGUAAACAGGGAGAAGAAUAAAAGAUAGCAUUGAACUGAAAGUGCAGAAUUACAUAAGUAAUCAAAACUAAAAUGUUGUCCUCCUUGCAACACAGAACAUUUUUUUUUCUUUAAUAAUAAUUGUCAUUAUAAUCAUAAUAACAAUAAAAACUUAUUUUACAGUAAACAGUAAUAACAAUAAUAGUAACAAUAAUGAUCAUAACUUCUAGAUGAACAUUAGCCGUAAAAAUUAAUUUUAAAAACAAUUAAGAAAAAGAAUGACAGAACAGGAAAAUAAAAUGUAAAAAUGAGAGCUGGUUGUGCUGUGCAAUCCUCGAUGUCACUGAGCUCCAUUGUUUCUUUUUUUAGCACCCCUGAGCCUGAACCAAACCCAUCCCCGCAAGCCCAACGUAAUGGGUCAUUCUGAGAGAGAGCCUCAUAGGAUCUGAGAUCACAGUCCACUCCGGAAUGGUCCACCGGAAUACAGCGGUGGGGAGAGGGAGGAGCGGACAGAACCUCACAGGAAUCCCCACGCACAGACUUGGUGUGAAUACUUUGGGUUUGUGGCUGAGUGUUUGCACGUGUAUGUUUAUGUGAUCUAUAUAUUUUGCCUGUAUGACUGCCUGGGACAUUGAGGCGCAUGAGUAUGUUGCUAUGGCAACAGUUGGGGGAGGGGGACCACAAGGGGUAGGAAGGAAGAAGUGAAUGGGGGUGGCAGAGACCAAUCUAUCCAAUCGGAUGGAAGAGCAGAAAUGGAGAGAGCCAAUGAUGGCAAUGCUUGCUAGAUGGCUGUGCAGAACAGAAUGCUGGCAUUGGACCCACUCCCCCUCACCCAGCCAAUCC
ensembl:lncRNA